rnacentral:rRNA from 1 species
UACGUAGGUGGCUAGCGUUGUCCGGAUUUACUGGGCGUAAAGAGCGCGCAGGCGGUCGUUCAAGUCGAGUGUGAAAGCCCCCGGCUCAACUGGGGAGGGUCACUUGAUACUGAUCGACUCGAAGGCAGGAGAGGGAAGCGGAAUUCCCGGUGUAGUGGUGAAAUGCGUAGAUAUCGGGAGGAACACCAGUGGCGAAGGCGGCUUCCUGGCCUGUUCUUGACGCUGAGGCGCGAAAGCUAGGGGAGCAAACGGG